UCCCUCUAUAAUGUAUGUGUUUUUUCCUUCAUUGGUUGUUUGCGUUAAUCCUUACCCAGAUACAAUAGUGCUAUUUUCUGAUUGGCUGUUGUGUCGCCUCUUGUUGUGAUUGGCUGAUAAGUGUCAGGCUCCACUAAGAGCUCCAGGGGAGACGCGCUCGGUUCCUGCCCGUUUCCACACACUCUAAUAAAUGAUUCAUGGGGUUAGUUUGUAAAACUUAAAAUAAACAAUAUUUUCAGCAUAAAAUAAUUAAGUUUGUAAUAUGUACUUGUGUUGUGAGCAUCUUUUACAUGCUGAGUAAAGGCGGAAUUUGUCCGGACGUGUUUGUCUGCCAGAGAAGGACUAGGAGCCGGAGACACAGGAGAAUCGAGGCUAUAUAGGUAAGUUAAUAUUUUUGCUUUGUUUUAAUCUCAGCAGCUAACAACUGUAUGCACAAAAAAUCGUUGACUUAAGUAAAGUUGUCCACAGGUUCGAGUUUCCCGAGUCAAUAACUCCUGAUCUAAACGCUACACCUCUUUUCUCUCGUAGUAAUGUAGUGAGGCGGCUACAACCGCGUUCUCCUCAAAAUCAGCUUUCCUCCACGGUGGACUAAAUACAUAUAAACCUAAAUAUGAAACAAAAUGAAUGCGGCAAACUUUACUUAAGAUGAUGAGGUGCCACAAAUUUUGACCCAGCCAACGCCAGUAUUAUUAUUGAGGGAACGGAAGUCCUGCAAGACCUGGAUGUAUCCAGAGCCUGUGCCCUGCUAGGGCUGGUAUAUGCCCUCAACCUCAGCUACCCAAAGGAACUAAAAAAUACUUUUGAGGUGUUUCAGAAAAUAAUUCUUGAGCUGGAUGGUCUGAAAGCUAGGCCGAAGGUAAUGUCUUUAAACA